CCCACAUUGGGCUUCAGGCGGGUCCAGUUGUCAAGUUCUACCGGCUGGGCCUAUCCACCUUUGCAUUUUAAGCCCAAAUUAAAUAAACUAACACGACUUGUAAGACAUGCAUUUAUGAUGAAUUUGUAAUAGAAGAAUUUUUAAACUCAAGAUCAGAUUACCAGAUGUAAUGCCCAGGCUUAGUCGCCUGGGCCCAGACUUGUUUAGCUCGUACCCAGAUUUUGGCCCUGUUGCAAGUCUGUCCCAAUUACAUAUUGGACUAUAUUGAAAAAAUUCAUAUGCCAUGGACUUGAAACUACGAAUAAAAAAUAGUCAAAACUUAAACUUAAUAUAUUCCAGUAGUCUGUUUACUUAAUAAAAGUCCAUUUACAAUACUGAAAGUUCAUGAAUUAUACAAGGAGAAUUUCUAACUUGACAAUCCAUCAUUCUAACGGUCCAUUAUAGCUUACAUCUAAAAGAAAGAAAAAGAAAACUUUAAAAGGAAAUAAAAGGAAAUUUUCCUCUAGCUUCAAGUUCCUACCAUCAAAUUCUUCAAACCCACGUACAAGCUUUUAAGAAAUCAGCUACAGAGCUGCUUCUCACAAGUUGAUUUUCAAACUCCAACCCUGAAAUUUUUUACUGCCAAACUAGUUUUGUUUCCACUUAGAAUUUCAUGGAUCCGACCAUGUGAAAAGGUCAGACUCACAAAAUAUCUUUAGAUACACUAAUCUACUACAUUAUCUAACCAAAACUCAAAUAACCGAUGCAGAAAAAGCUGAGAUUCGUGGGUUUAAUCAUGUUAAGGGUCAAACCCAUGAAUCAAUAAGGGCUUCAAACCCAAAAUCAUGGUAUACUGCCUUAGCGCAAUACCUUAAUGGAAUAAAAGGGAAGGGAAAAGGUAUUUUAAUCCAUGAAUCUGACCAUGUACGUAUCAAACUCAAUGAACAAACCAAGUUUCAAAUAUGAGGGGUCUAAACAUACUAUCUAACUAAUGCAAGGAAAAGCAUACAUGCAUACCAGCCAAAAUAAUUGAAUGAUCAAUGCUAAAGUCAUAUAAAGAAACAAAUUAUCAUGAUAUAGAACCAAAUGGACAGAGACUCACAUUUUAGGAGAAAAAGCUUCAAUACUGUUGCAACUUCAGAAUACAAACCAUAGCAAGAAUGGCACAACAUAUAAACAUUGGCAAGCAAAGAAUAGGUUGUAUUCAUCUUAAAUUCCAUUACAAACACUUAAACAUGGAAAGAAUCAUGUGUACCUUGAACAUCAAUAGAAAAAUAACAAACAAGAUGAAAGAAGACUGUUGAAAACUCGAGAAGAAGGGUAGAAACAACAGUGAGCCAACACAGCUACAACCACCAGAUGAAUCUAAGAAUCUGAACCAAGUUUUAACCACCUUCCAAACCGAAUCCCAACUAAACAAACCCCAGAAAAUUCUUUAUUUCAAACCACUUCUAGCUUGUGAACAAAUGAGAAAAGUUUUGAAAAUCUUUCUAAGAUUUCUGAAAUCUGAAAAGGGAACUUUUAUGCAGUAAAGAUGAUGCUCUAGUUCUCUGUUUUUUAGAACUUUUAGGCAGAGAAUAAUGCUAAAUGAAUGUCUUUUUUAGAAUAAAAUAGCCUACAUAUAUAUAGGGGUGUGCAAUCGAUUCAUCGAUUCGAUUUUGACCUUAUCGAUAAUUACUUAUCGAUUAUCGAUUUGUACAUAUGCUUAUCGUUAUCGUUUCAAUAAGGUUUCGAUUUUUUCGGUUUCGAUUUAUCGAUUUUGGGGGCUUAUCGAUUCGGUUAUCGAUUACACCGAUAAGAAAAAUUUGCGGGAUUCAACGGAAAGUAUAUCGUUAUAAGCGCGCCUAACUUAUGAUUUAUCGAUUUUCAAUAAGGCAGAUUAAACCGAUUAGAAUGCACACCCCUAUAGAUUAGUUGUUAUUCAUCAGCCACGUUAUCAAUAUUAUCAUUUUCAGCCACAUUAAACGAAUGAAGAAUAUAACUUACAGUCUUAAAGACAAGCCCAACCUUCAGAGUAGCACAGUGCACACCUCUUGGUUCAAUCUUAAACACUUCUUGCUUCUAUUUUUGAACCUGAAUA
rnacentral:lncRNA from 1 species